rnacentral:rRNA from 1 species
UACGAAGGGGGCUAGCGUUGCUCGGAAUUACUGGGCGUAAAGCGCACGUAGGCGGAUUGUUAAGUCGGGGGUGAAAUCCUGGAGCUCAACUCCAGAACUGCCUUCGAUACUGGCGAUCUCGAGUUCGGGAGAGGUGAGUGGAACUGCGAGUGUAGAGGUGAAAUUCGUAGAUAUUCGCAAGAACACCAGUGGCGAAGGCGGCUCACUGGCCCGAUACUGACGCUGAGGUGCGAAAGCGUGGGGAGCAAACGGG